GACGAACGCUGGCGGCGUGCCUAAUACAUGCAAGUCGAGCGGACGUUUUUGAAGCUUGCUUCAAAAACGUUAGCGGCGGACGGGUGAGUAACACGUGGGCAACCUACCUUAUCGACUGGGAUAACUCCGGGAAACCGGGGCUAAUACCGGAUAACAUCUAGCACCUCCUGGUGCCGGAUUAAAAGAGGGCUUCUUGCUCUCACGAUGAGAUGGGCCCGCGGCGCAUUAGCUAGUUGGAGAGGUAACGGCUCCCCAAGGCGACGAUGCGUAGCCGACCUGAGAGGGUGAUCGGCCACACUGGGACUGAGACACGGCCCAGACUCCUACGGGAGGCAGCAGUAGGGAAUCUUCCGCAAUGGACGAAAGUCUGACGGAGCAACGCCGCGUGAGUGAUGAAGGGUUUCGGCUCGUAAAGCUCUGUUAUGAGGGAAGAACACGUACCGUUCGAAUAGGGCGGUACCUUGACGGUACCUCAUCAGAAAGCCACGGCUAACUCUGUGCCAGCAGCCGCGGUAAAAC
rnacentral:rRNA from 1 species